AAAGCACACAGGGGUCGAAUUUGGAAGGGCACCAAGGCAAGUUGGAAGGGCGGCAAGUUGGAAGGGCACCAAGGCAAGUUGGAAGGGCACCAAACCAAGGCAAGUUGGAAGGACACCAAGGCAAGUUGGAAGGGCACCAAGACAAGUUGGAAGGGCACCAAGGCAAACGUUUUGUUCAGAAGAUGGUACAUCUCUUAAUCCUGCAACUUUGAAGAUACAUCAGUAAAAGGCUGCUUUCAAAGAAGCAAUAUUUUGUGGAUCAGAUCAAAACGUUGAAGGUUCUCUGUCUUAAGAGAAAUAUGUCUAGCAGUGAUGAUAGAUUUGUCGAACGUGAGGUCUCGUCAAAACAUUGUGAAAGCAACCCUCAUCUGGCAGAAGAAACUAAACCACAUUCUUGCGAGAAGCCUUUCCAGUGUGGGAUGUGCUUGAAGUGUUUCUCUUACAAGAGUAAGAUUAAGCACCAUAUGAGGAUCCACACUGGUGAACGACCAUAUCAGUGUGGGGUGUGCAGAAAGUGUUUUCUUGAGAAAAGAUACGUGAAAAAGCAUAUAUUAAUUCACAAUGGAGUUAAGAAUUUCAAAUGUGAUUUGUGUUCAAAAUCUUUCCAUAAUUCCCUCUUGAAAGUACAUAUGCUCGUUCAUACUGGUGUUAUGCCUUUCAAGUGUGAAAUGUGUGCAAAGCGUUUUUCGCUAAAUGCCAACUUGAAACAACAUAUGUUGGUUCACACUGGUGUUAAGGCUUUCAAGUGCAAGGUAUGUGCCAAAUGUUUCUCACGAAAUACCCAUUUGAAACAACAUAUGUUGGUUCACACUGGUGUUAAGAAUUUCAGAUGUGAGGUAUGUACAAAAUGUUUCUCAAAAAACCCCGACUUGAAACGACACAUGUUGGUUCACGCUGGUGUUAAGAAUUUCAAAUGUGAGGUAUGUGCAAAACGUUUCUCACGAAAUACCAACUUGAAACGACACAUGAUGGUUCACACUGGUGUUAAGGAUUUCAAAUGAGAGGUAUGUGCAAAAGGUUCCUCAAGCAAUCUGAAAUUGAAAGAACAUAUGAACAUUCACAAUAUCGAUGUGAAACAACAUAUUUUGGUUCACACUAUUGUUAAGAGUUGAAUGUAUUUGCUAAAUGUUUCUCAUACAAUGACAGCUUGAAUCAUCAUAUGUUUGUUCACACAGGUAAUACACAGUUCAAGUGUGAUGCGUGCAUAAAGUGUUUCUCUCAUGGUUAUCAGCAAAAAUAUCAUUCAUGCAAAUGAGAAACUUUUAACACGUUUAAAAUGCACAAACUGAUUUAACAUACAACACCAUCUUGAAGUACCUCCUGUCUGUUCAAAUUAAAUAGAGAGGUGUGUAGCUCAGUAGUAGUGUGAUGGGUCAUGUGAUCAACACUCGUCAAACUGAUUUAACAUCAACACCAUCUUGAAGUGCCUCCUGUCUGUUCUUAUUAAAUAGAGAGGUGUGUAGCUCAGUAGUACUGUGAUUGGUCAUGGGAUCAACACUCGUCAAACUGAUUUAACAUACAAAACCACCUUGAAUAGCCUCCUGUCUGUUCAUAUUAAUUAGAGAGGUGUGUAGCUCAGUAGAAGUGUGAUGGGUCAUGGGACAACACUCAUCAGACUGAUUUAACAUACAACACCAUCUUGAAGUGCCUCCUGUCUGUUCUUAUUAAAUAGAGAGGUGUGUAGCUCAGUAGUAGUGUGAUUGGUCAUGGGAUCAACACUCGUCAAAAUUAUUUAACAUACAACACCAUCUUGAAGUGCCUCCUGUCUGUUCUUAUUAAAUAGAGAGGUGUGUAGCUCAGUAGUAGUGUGAUUGGUCAUGGGAUCAACACUCGUCAAAAUGAUUUAACAUACAACACCAUCUUGAAGUGCCUCCUGUCUGUUCUUAUUAAAUAGAGAGGUGUGUAGCUCAGUAGUAGUGUAAUGGGUCAUGGGAUCAACACUCAUCAAACUGAUUUAACAUACAACACCAUCUUGAAGUGCCUCCUGUCUGUUCUUAUUAAAUAGAGCGGUGUGUAGCUCAGUAGUAGUAUGAUGGGUCAUGGGAUCAACACUCGUCAAACUGAUUUAACAUACAACACCAUCUUGAAGUGCCUCCUGUCUGUUCAUAUUAAAUAGAGAGGUGUGUAGCUCAGUAGUAGUGUGAUCGGUCAUGGGAUCAGCCUCCUGUCUGUUCUUAUUAAAUAGAGAGGUGUGUAGCUCAGUAGUAGUGUGAUCGGUCAUGGGAUCAACACUCGUCAGACUGAUUUAACAUACAACACCAUCUUGAAGUGCCUCCUGUCUGUUCAUAUUAAUUAGAGAGGUGUGUAGCUCAGUAGCAGUGUGAUGGGUCAUGGGAUCAACUCUCGUCAGACCUAUUUCAGGUUUUACCACUCACUAGGCCAGCUUUUCUGUAACUGUCAAUAAUAUCAUUAGUAACGACGAAGGCAAAAUGGUUGAAUAUGGACCUUUAUUCGGUGUGGGUCUUAAGGAAACAUAGCGAGGUGUGUCGCUUAACAGACGUGUGAGGCUCAUGGGAUCGAUACUCGUUAUAAGACCUAUUUUAGGAUUUAUCACUCACACUAGGUCAGCCUUCCCGUAAUUUACACAAACAUCGUGAAUAAGAACGAAGAUAAAAUGGUUGAAUAUGAUUCUUAUUCACUGUGGGUGCUAUGGCUUUGAACGGCCAAACUACAUUGGUUGUCUGGAAAAUUCAACAUGGCUUCUGCUCAUGUGUUUGUUGGUGUGUGUAUGAUUGUGCCUCUGUAUGGGACUUGUGUUACAUAUAUAUAUAUAUACAUAUAUACAUACAUAUGUACAUACAUACAUACAUACAUACAUAUGUGAUGCCUGCAAAAUAUUUAGUCACAGUAUCAGCUAAUUGUUAUUUGAUAUUGAUAACAUUUUCAAAUGUGACGUGUCUUCAAAAUGCGAGCUUAAACACAUUGUUGGUGGUUAUAAGAUUGUCAAAUGUAAUGUGUCUAUAAAAUGUCAUACAUUUGGUGCGAGCUAAAACAUAGUUAAUGUUGGCUAUAACAGUGUAAGAUUUUAAAGUGUGAUGUGUCUGCAAAGGAGUUUAGUCACAGUACAAGUUUAGAUAUAGUCCUAGUUUAUGCUGUUCAUAAAAAUUUCAAAUGUGAUGUAUCUAACGAAUGAGUUUAGACACAGUAUAAGUACUUUCAAGAUAUUGUAAGUUUAUAUUCUUAUCAUAAAAACUUUUCUUUAGGCUCUGUUUUAAAUGUUUUCACUUUUUGUGUUUUAUUUCGAGACCAAAUGUUUCUUGUGAAAUAAUAAUAAA
rnacentral:misc_RNA from 1 species